rnacentral:tRNA from 1 species
GCCUUUGUGGUGUAAUGGUCCACAAUCUCGAUGCGUAUUCGAGAGGUCCGAGGUUCGAAUCCCGGCAAGGGCA